CCAAUAGCGUAUAUUAAAGUUGCUGCAGUUAAAAAGCUCGUAGUUGAAUUUCGGGACCAUCAUGUCGGUCGUGCCUCGGUACGUACUGGCAUUGUUGGUUUCUCCCUUCUGACGAACCAUGAUGUCAUUAAUUUGGUGUCAUGGGGAAUCAGGACUGUUACUUUGAAAAAAUUAGAGUGUUUAAAGCAGGCUCACGCUUGAAUACAUUAGCAUGGAAUAAUGAAAUAGGACGUUUGAUUCUAUUUUGUUUGUUUCUAGGAUCGACGUAAUGAUUAAUAGGGAUAGUUGGGGGCAUUAGUAUUCAAUUGUCAGAGGUGAAAUUCUUGGAUUUAUUGAAGACUAACUACUGCGAAAGCAUUUGCCAAGGAUGUUUUCAUUAAUCAAGAACGAAGGUUAGGGGAUCGAAGACGAUCAGAUACCGUCGUAGUCUUAACCAUAAACUAUGCCGACUAGGGAUCGGAUGAUGUUAAUUUUUUAAUGACUCAUUCGGCGCCUUACG
rnacentral:rRNA from 1 species